rnacentral:lncRNA from 1 species
UUUUGAGAACACAGAUUUUUGUAGCCAAGGCACCCAGUGUAUAGUACUUUGUUAUGGCAGCCCUUUCAUACAAAUACAGGAGGGGCUCAUGAAAAACUGGUGACAAUAAAUUGUUCUUUAUUUUCUGGUGCUCCCUCAAAAGAAAAAUGUGAGCCCUGGCAUGGCUUUCUUGUUUGAACUCUUUCUUCUUCAUGGAACAUACACUUGCCUGGACCGGGCUGUGGGCUGAGCAGUGUUCCCUUUGUGUAAUAACAACUUUGAUACAGUGGAGGGAAAAUUUAAGUGUCCCCUUCUAUGAGGACAUUAUGACCAGAAACUCAGUAACUUUAGGAAAAUUGAAGAUUUGAUUUGCCUGGACUUGGACCACUGGCUGUGCAAUCUCUAUUUUCAGUUUGUCUAAUGGCUAAAGGAGAGAAAGCAGAAUCAGGAGUGGAUAAUACAGCUGGCCUUUCAGAGAAGGAAACACAGAAGAAUCCUCGUGCACCAAUGGAUGAGGCAGACGUUAAAUCCGCAGCACACUCUUCUCAGGGGAGCCUUCCUAAAAAAAUCGGUCCCUGUUCUAUGGACUAUGAUCCCAAUCUCUUAAAAGAAGACGAUGAACUACACUCUCAGGGAGAUAGCCUGAUGGAUCAUUCUGUGAAUGGAAAAUCAACUGUUUGGAGAAUUGGAGAAGCUGAAGAUUAUUCACAGGACAUAUCUUACUUGGAGGAACUGAAGGAACACCGAUUUUCUGUUUGGUUGCACAAUGACUCUUGGAUAUUAGAUGCUUUUCAGUGCAUCCACAGUGAAGAAACCAAGUUCUUCAUACCGUAUGACUUGGAGAUUUCCAAUCAGGAGCUAAGUUAUAUAGUGAAACGAUCUGAGCAAUGGAGAGGAAUCAAUGGUGAAAGAAGAAAGAGGUGUCUAUCCAACUCAAUCCAAUUCCACAAUCACAUCUGA